UGCAGAAUCCCGUGAACCAUCGAGUCUUUGAACGCAAGUUGCGCCCGAAGCCAUUACGCUAAGGGCACGUCUGCCUGGGCGUCACGC
rnacentral:rRNA from 1 species